rnacentral:rRNA from 1 species
AUACGUAAGGGGCAAGCGUUGUUCGGAUUCAUUGGGCGUAAAGCGCACGUAGGCGGAUAGUUAAGUCGGGUGUUUAACCUUCAGGCUCAACCUGGAGUCGGCACUCGAUACUGAUUAUCUUGAGUAUCGGAGGGGAAAGCGGAAUUCUCGGUGUAGCGGUGGAAUGCGUAGAUAUCGAGAGGAACACCAGUGGCGAAGGCGGCUUUCUGGACGAAUACUGACGCUGAGGUGCGAAAGCGUGGGGAGCGAACAGGAUUAGAUACCCUGGUAGUCCACGCCGUAAACGUUGUGCACUAGAUGUCGGGGGUUUCAAUGCCUCCGGUGUCGCCGCUAACGCAUUAAGUGCACCGCCUGGGGAGUAUGCCCGCAAGGGUGAA